rnacentral:rRNA from 1 species
AACGCUGGCGGCGCGCCUAACACAUGCAAGUCGAACGGAGCAAAGAGGAGCUUGCUUUCUUGCUUAGUGGCGAACGGGUGAGUAACGCGUGAGUAACCUGCCCUGGAGUGGGGGACAACAGUUGGAAACGACUGCUAAUACCGCAUAAGCCCACGGAGCCGCAUGGCUCUGAGGGAAAAGGAGAAAUUUGCUUCAGGAUGGACUCGCGUCCAAUUAGCUAGUUGGUGAGGUAACGGCCCACCAAGGCGACGAUUGGUAGCCGGACUGAGAGAUUGAACGGCCACAUUGGGACUGAGACACGGCCCAGACUCCUACGGGAGGCAGCAGUGGGGAAUAUUGCACAAUGGGGGAAACCCUGAUGCAGCGACGCCGCGUGAGUGAAGAAGUAUUUCGGUAUGUAAAGCUCUAUCAGCAGGGAAGAACAUGACGGUACCUGACUAAGAAGCCCCGGCUAACUACGUG